GACGAACGCUGGCGGCGUGCUUAACACAUGCAAGUCGAACGGAAAGGCCCUGCUUUUGUGGGGUGCUCGAGUGGCGAACGGGUGAGUAACACGUGAGUAACCUGCCCUUGACUUUGGGAUAACUUCAGGAAACUGGGGCUAAUACCGGAUAGGAGCUCCUGCUGCAUGGUGGGGGUUGGAAAGUUUCGGCGGUUGGGGAUGGACUCGCGGCUUAUCAGCUUGUUGGUGGGGUAGUGGCUUACCAAGGCUUUGACGGGUAGCCGGCCUGAGAGGGUGACCGGCCACAUUGGGACUGAGAUACGGCCCAGACUCCUACGGGAGGCAGCAGUGGGGAAUAUUGCACAAUGGGCGGAAGCCUGACGCAGCAACGCCGCGUGCGGGAUGACGGCCUUCGGGUUGUAAACCGCUUUCGCCUGUGACGAAGCGUGAGUGAUGGUAAUGGGUAAAGAAGCACCGGCUAACUACGUG
rnacentral:rRNA from 1 species